CCUGACCCAGCAACGCCGCGUGAGGGAUGAAGGCCUUCGGGUCGUAAACCUCUGUCGGGAGGGACGAAAGGCGCGCGGGUGAACAAUCCGCGUACUUGACGGUACCUCCAAAGGAAGCGCCGGCUAACUCCGUGCCAGCAGCCGCGGUAAUACGGAGGGCGCAAGCGUUGUUCGGAAUCACUGGGCGUAAAGCGCUUGCAGGCGGCUUGGUAAGUCGGGUGUGAAAUCCCGGAGCUCAACUCCGGAACUGCACCCGAUACUGCCUCGCUAGAGUCCCGGAGAGGAUGGCGGAAUUUCCGGUGUAGAGGUGAAAUUCGUAGAUAUCGGAAGGAACACCAGCGGCGAAGGCGGCCAUCUGGACGGUGACUGACGCUCAGAAGCGAAAGCGCGGGGAGCAAACAGGAUUAGAUACCCUGGUAGUCCGCGCUGUAAACGUUGGGUGCUAGGCGUCGUGGGUAUUGACCCCCGCGGUGCCGAAGCUAACGCAUUAAGCACCCCGCCUGGGGAGUACGGUCGCAAGACUA
rnacentral:rRNA from 1 species